rnacentral:lncRNA from 1 species
UCAUCCUCUCAGGAAUCACCUCCCAAACAAACCACCUUGUUUCAGGUUCUGCUUUCUGGGGGAUUCAAGACAGGAAGUUAUGUUGUUGGGGGGUUUAUGUAUCCAAGGGAUAGAAUGAGUAAAUGGGUAAAUGGAAUGUGGGUAUUUCUGCAGAAGUAAACUGCAUUGCCCAAGUUAAUAGCCCACAGACAUUGCCUGCCUGCUGACCUUUGUUAUAGCACUUUAUCCCUACAUGGCUAAGACUCCAGCUAUGUUCAUUCAAGCUAUAAUCAGCUUUAAUUCAUAUUUGCACACAGUUUGUUCAUAUUUCUCCAAACUACCUGUGGACUUGGUUUUGUACUGGCCACCGACAGUAAAGUGAUAUGUCAGGGCAGGUUUCCUAAAAGCAGCUGAGACCUUAAGGGUUAAUAGGUCUCAGUCAAAUUUAAGGGAAAGGAAGAGUAUUCUAGCUAGGAGGUUUAGUGUGGAAAAGCUGGGAAAUUUAGGGAGAACAUCAGUACUAAACAUAAAUGCAUAAACCCUGAGAUGGGAGUAGGAGGUAAAGCCAGAAAAUCUGGUGGAAAUCAGGUUCCAAAGAAAACUUUUAAGUUCUUUUAAGGCAGUGAGAUUAAUGGGAAGCCAUGUAAGGUUUGGGGUGUUAUGAUGGUUUUGUGAUGUGUCAAGUUGGCUAGGCUGAAUUACAUUCCUCAGAAUUCUCUUUACCAUAUGUUUUUAGUUUGAGCUGGCUGUGGGAGAUUCUUGUAGGUUUGUGGGCUGGUUGUGAAGCAACAAUCGUUUUGUAGCUCGUGGCUUUGCUGGCUGGCUUCCUGAGCUGAGGCAGAGACUGAGUCUGUGACUUCUUCACCUGCCCCUGGAUGCUCCUUCUGUUUCCCUGGCUCCUGGCCCAUGUUUGUUUAGCUUCAUGAGUGGCCCAUCUUCUGUCCCAUGCCACCAAGAGUAGAGGCAGCAAGAACUGACAGCUUUAGGUUCAUUCCUGUUUUUGUGUUUUCCAGCUGGUUCUUAGAGCUUGACAGCCCUCUUCCCUUCCUUCUCUGCCCUGCAGACUUUAGUAUCUAGCAGCAGAAGGUAGUAGGUUGACAUGACAGCCUUACAGAGACUGUUGGGCCAGUUUUCAUAAGUGUGCAGCACAAAUCCCUACAGGCAUCUGUAUCUAGAUCUGGCUUAGAGGUUCUCUUUCCAAGAUAGGAGUUGAGUAACAUAAUCACAUUUCCUUUUAGAAACAUCGCUCUGGCUGCAGAGCAAAGAACAGAUUCUGGGGAAGCUGGAUAACUAUAAAAGAAUUCAAUAAGAAUGGUACAGCAAAAUCCAGGUAAGAAAAGAUGAUGGCCUGGAUGAAGCAGAAUUUUUUUUUUUUUUGGCUGUGUCUGCAGCAUGCGAAAGUUUCCGGGCCAGGGAUUGAAUCUUCACCGCAGCAGUGACAAUGCUGACUCCUUAACCACUAGGCCAUCAGGGAACGCCCUCCUUACCAAUUGCAUUAAAAUGAACUCUCAUCAUAUCUUUAAUCAUAGCCAUUUUUAAAUCUUUUGUCAUUUAUAGACAUUUGUCAUGCUCUGCUGCUUUUGCAAAAAAAAUGUUCCUGUAAGAGUGCUUCGUCUUCAAGGAGAUAUGUGGAAAAGUGUAUGUUCUGAUAACUAAGAUCAUACCACUAAAUUGAAUAAGAAUUUGGAGUUCCCGUCAUGGCUCAGCAAAAGCGGAUCUGACUAGCAUGCGUGAGAACGCCGGUUCAAUCCCUGGCCUUGCUCAGUGGAUUAAGGAUCCAGCGUUUCUGUGUUGGAAAUUACAAUGAUUCUGGCUCAGGUCGUCAGUGUCAGAAAGUGAGAUAUGUGGGCAGGAGAAAUCUCGACAUGGCUCUUUACUUCUGCGGAAGGGUGCGGGCACUCCAAAAAGUGUGCCCACCGAACAAAGGACCCUCCCCUAUUUAUCCCUAACGCAGGUGAUGUACCUGUGCACUUCCCAUUGGUCAGGUCAGGGCGCACACUCUCCCCGCUUGGCUAAUUUGAAACAAAUUGUUACUGGGAGAAGAGGGAAAGGGAGGGGUGGGGGUCGCAGGAAGGCAGAAACAGGAGCAAAAUGGAGUAACUGAGAUUUCUUUUGAUAGAAAAGACAUUAUGUUACUUUCCACAGCUGUGGUGUAGGUUGCAGAAGUGGCUCUGGUCCUGUGUUGCUGUUGCUGUGGCU